rnacentral:rRNA from 1 species
UACGUAGGGUCCGAGCGUUGUCCGGAAUUACUGGGCGUAAAGAGCUCGUAGGUGGUUUGUCGCGUUGUUCGUGAAAACUCACAGCUUAACUGUGGGCGUGCGGGCGAUACGGGCAGACUUGAGUACUGCAGGGGAGACUGGAAUUCCUGGUGUAGCGGUGGAAUGCGCAGAUAUCAGGAGGAACACCGGUGGCGAAGGCGGGUCUCUGGGCAGUAACUGACGCUGAGGAGCGAAAGCCGUGGGGAGCGAACAGG